rnacentral:rRNA from 1 species
UACGGAGGGGGCUAGCGUUGUUCGGAAUUACUGGGCGUAAAGCGCGCGUAGGCGGACCUGCAAGUCGGGGGUGAAAGCCCGAGGCUCAACCUCGGAACUGCCUUCGAUACUGCGGGUCUCGAGUCCGGGAGAGGUGAGUGGAAUUUACGGUGUAGCAGUGAAAUGCGUAGAUAUCGUAAGGAAGACCAGUGGCGAAGGCGAAUCUCUGGACAGUUACUGACACUGAGGCUCGAAGGCCAGGGGAGCAAACGGG